AGUGAGUUCAAUGAGCUUUCUGUAUUUUAAUGCUUUAGUGUUUCAGUUUUAUAAGUGAAGAUUUUAUUUUAAAAACCAGUGGGAAAGAGUGGGAUUUUUUUUUUUUUUUUUUUUUUUGGGUAUGUCUGGAUCAUUCAGACAGUACAUCCAAACUCAGAAGAAUGUAGACAAAUAAAGAAAAAGAAAAUGGCACUGUCUCAGGCCUGGGUGUUUGACCCUCCAGUCAGUCGGGUGAUGGGCAGCUUGCUCCGCUCUGUUCCCGCCCUGGAAUGCAGGGUGGGGACAGCAGGACGAUCCCUGGUCACCAGAGAGGGUCCAACUCCAGGCCUCCAGACAUCUCUAUUCCAAGCUUGGCAAGAGCCAGCUUUCUGCCCACCUGAGGGUCUUUUUACCCCCGUCCCAUGGGCUCCACAGCUCCACCCCUGGCAGCGUGCGGAGCCCCCGGAAGGCUGGAGCCUCAGGCACAUGUUUGUUUCUGCUCCAUGAAUCCUGCCAGCCGGCUGUGCUGGUAGGGAGGGGCUGGUGUGUGCCGCCCCAGAGAAGCUUCCAGUGAGAGCUGGGGCUCCCUACAAGUGGCAGAGACUUGAGUCUAGUGGUCUGGGGGAAGAUUUGUCUCCUGUCAGUUCUUCAGUGUGGGGGAGCUGGUCACAAGUCGAGAGAACUCCAGGCUUUUGUGAAGCGGCGCCAAGGGUCUCUGCUGCUGGACAUCUGUCCAGCACCUCCCCAAGAGCCUUCGUCCACCUGUAGCCGCCUCUCCUCCUGGACACCUGGCAGGUGUUGGCCUGAGCCUCUAGGUUGCCCUCUGGUAUCCUAUGUGCAAGAAGGAACAAGAUCCCAUCUGUGGCGAGACCCCGCCGUUGCUGAAGCAAAUGAGAGCUGCGUGGAAGGGGGUAAACGUGAGCCUUCCUGGAUCCACAAAAGACAAGUCUCUGCGCUUCACGCCGGUGUAGAGGAAGCCCCAGGGAUGAGUGACUCAGCCCCGGGAGAGUUGGAAAGAGAAUGUGGCUGCGUGAAACCAGGCCGAGCAGCAGCUCACGUGGGAGUUCCAGUGUGUGAGAGCCAGCAUUCCACACAAGUGAUCUGUAGUGGACGAGUGGAGUCCCUGCUGCCAUGGUCAGGGGCUGUGUCUGAUUGGCACAUCUACCCGCUGGGACAGGAAGACACUCCUACUGGCAUUCUGGUUUUGGAUGAGGAUUCAGGCUGAGGAGGGCUUGUGUGUCACCCACCAACUCAGCCGGAGGACUGCCUGCCAAGCACGGCUAAACUCUAGAUGAGUCCCUGAGGUCUUGCUGGAGAGGGUUGGAUGGCACACUCCGUGACUCAACAGGAGCCCAGGUGCUUUGUCUCAGGAGCAGCUGGAGAACACAGUACACUCCGUGGCACACCUUGCAGGCCUCCCUGUUGCUGAGGGCGCUGGGGUUCAUUUGGCCUGUGGUGGUAUCCCAGCGCCCCAGCCCCACCGAACCAAGACGCAGCUGUCACCUUGGGUAGAGAAGGCCUGUGGGAGGCGCUCCACCUCCCCGCCGCAUGCGCUGGCUUGCUUCACCUGCUGUCCCGUGUCCAGUGCAGGUCACCAGGAGCCUCCACAGGAAGAGCAGGGGCCCACAGUUUGUCCUCUGGAGUUGAUCAUGACGAGGGAGAUCCACUCCACCACUGACCGUUCUCCUGCAGUCCAUAAGGCCUGUCCUUGCCCCCGAAGCUCUGCGUCCCGAUCCUCCGCAGCUGGGGUGUCGCCUCCGCAUUCAGUCUCCGUGUGAGCUCCGUCCAUGCUGGCCGUACACAUUACCCGCCUGAGACCUCUGGACGCGGUUCUGGGCAUCAGCGCAACCAGCCUCCAUGGAGGCCACGACGCUCACUGACCCUUCCCAGAAUAAACUGAGUUCACGUGUC